rnacentral:rRNA from 1 species
UACGUAGGGGGCAAGCGUUGUCCGGAAUCAUUGGGCGUAAAGCGCGUGUAGGCGGCUUGGUAAGUCCGCUCUGAAAGCCCGGGGCUCAACCCCGGGAGGCGGGUGGAUACUGUCAAGCUCGAGUCCGGAAGAGGCGAGUGGAAUUCCUGGUGUAGCGGUGAAAUGCGUAGAGAUCGGGAGGAACACCAGUGGCGAAGGCGGCCAUCUGGAUCAACACUGACGCUGAGGCACGAAAGCGUGGGGAGCAAACAGG